GACGAACGCUGGCGGCGUGCUUAACACAUGCAAGUCGAACGGUAAGGCACUUCGGGGUACACGAGUGGCGAACGGGUGAGUAACACGUGGGCGAUCUGCCCUGCACUUCGGGAUAAGCCUGGGAAACUGGGUCUAAUACCGGAUAGGACCCUGGGAUGCAUGUCCUGGGGUGGAAAGCUUUUGCGGUGUGGGAUGGGCCCGCGGCCUAUCAGCUUGGUGGUGGGGUGAUGGCCUACCAAGGCGACGACGGGUAGCCGGCCUGAGAGGGGGACCGGCCACACUGGGACUGAGAUACCGCCCAGACUCCUACGGGAGGCAGCAGUGGGGAAUAUUGCACAAUGGGCGCAAGCCUGAUGCAGCGACGCCGCGUGAGGGAUGACGGCCUUCGGGUUGUAAACCUCUUUCAGCACCGACGAAGCGCAAGUGACGGUAGGUGCAGAAGAAGGACCGGCCAACUACGUGCCAGCCGCCGCUGUAA
rnacentral:rRNA from 1 species